rnacentral:rRNA from 1 species
GACGAACGCUGGCGGCGUGCCUAACACAUGCAAGUCGAACGGAAAGGCCCUGCUUUUGUGGGGUGCUCGAGUGGCGAACGGGUGAGUAACACGUGAGUAACCUGCCCCUGACUUUGGGAUAACUUCAGGAAACUGGGGCUCUUACCGGAUAGGAUCUCCUGCUGCAUGGUGGGCGUUGGAUAGUUUCGGUGGUUGGGGAUGUAAUGGCGGCUUAUCGGCUUGGUGGUUGGGUAGUGGCUUACCAAGGCUUUGACGGGUAGCCGGCCUGAGAGGAUAACCGGCCACAUUAGGACUGAGAUACGGCACAGACUCGUACGGGACGCAACGGAGGGGAGUAUUACACAGUAGGCGGAAGGCAGAUGCGACAACGCCGCGUGCGGGAUGAGGGGCUUGGGGUUGUGAACCACUGUCGCCUGUGACGAGGCGUGAGUGACGGUAAUGGGUAAAGAAGCACCGGCUAACUACGUG